UUGGUUAAGUUAGAAAGGGCGCACGGUGGAUGCCUUGGCACUAGGAGCCGAAGAAGGACGGGACUAACACCGAUAUGCUUUGGGGAGCUGUACGUAAGCGUUGAUCCAGAGAUUUCCGAAUGGGGGAACCCACUAUCUUUAGUCGGAUAGUAUCCUUACGUGAAUACAUAGCGUGAGGAAGGCAGACCCAGGGAACUGAAACAUCUAAGUACCUGGAGGAAGAGAAAGAAAAAUCGAUUUCCUGAGUAGCGGCGAGCGAAACGGAAAGAGCCCAAACCAAGAAGCUUGCUUCUUGGGGUUGUAGGACACUCUAUACGGAGUUACAAAAGAAAGUUAUAAAUGAAGCGGUCUGGAAAGGCCCGCCAAAGACGGUAACAGCCCGGUAGUUGAAAUAGCUUUCCCUCCAGAGUGGAUCCUGAGUACGGCGGAACACGUGAAAUUCCGUCGGAAUCCGGGAGGACCAUCUCCCAAGGCUAAAUACUCCCUAGUGACCGAUAGUGAACCAGUACCGUGAGGGAAAGGUGAAAAGCACCCCGGAAGGGGAGUGAAACAGUUCCUGAAACCGUGUGCCUACAAGUAGUUAGAGCCCGUUAAUGGGUGAUAGCGUGCCUUUUGUAGAAUGAACCGGCGAGUUACGAUUUGUUGCAAGGUUAAGCGGAAAAAGCGGAGCCGUAGCGAAAGCGAGUCUGAAUAGGGCGAAUAAGUAACAGGUCGUAGACCCGAAACCAGGUGAUCUACCCAUGUCCAGGAUGAAGGUAAGGUAAUACUUACUGGAGGUCCGAACCCACGCACGUUGAAAAGUGCGGGGAUGAGGUGUGGGUAGCGGAGAAAUUCCAAUCGAACUUGGAGAUAGCUGGUUCUCUCCGAAAUAGCUUUAGGGCUAGCCUCGAGGUAAAGAGUCAUGGAGGUAGAGCACUGUUUGGACUAGGGGCCCUUCUCGGGUUACCGAAUUCAGAUAAACUCCGAAUGCCAUGUACUUAUACUCGGGAGUCAGACUGCGAGUGAUAAGAUCCGUAGUCGAAAGGGAAACAGCCCAGACCACCAGUUAAGGUCCCCAAAUAUAUGUUAAGUGGAAAAGGAUGUGGGGUUGCUUAGACAACCAGGAUGUUGGCUUAGAAGCAGCCACCAUUGAAAGAGUGCGUAAUAGCUCACUGGUCGAGUGACCCCGCGCCGAAAAUGUACCGGGGCUAAACAUAUUACCGAAACUGUGGAUGAACCUCUUUAGAGGUUCGUGGUAGGAGAGCGUUCUAAGGGCGGUGAAGUCAGACCGGAAGGACUGGUGGAGCGCUUAGAAGUGAGAAUGCCGGUAUGAGUAGCGAAAGAAGGGUGAGAAUCCCUUCCACCGAAUAUCUAAGGUUUCCUGAGGAAGGCUCGUCCGCUCAGGGUUAG
rnacentral:rRNA from 1 species